UGCCAGACUCCUACGGGAGGCAGCAGUGGGGGAUAUUGCACAAUGGGGGGAACCCUGAUGCAGCGACGCCGCGUGGGUGAAGGGGCGUUUCGGCGCGUAAAGCCCUAUCGGCAGGGAAGAAGGAGGACGGUACCUGACUAAGAAGCCCCGGCUAACUACGUGCCAGCAGCCGCGGUAAUACGUAGGGGGCAAGCGUUAUCCGGAUUUACUGGGUGUAAAGCGCUCGUAGGCGGUAUGUCAAGUCAAGGGUGAAAUCCCCGCGCUCAACGUGGGAACUGCCUUUGAAACUGGCAAACUGGAGUGUGUGAGAGGAUAGUGGAAUUCCAGGUGUAGGAGUGAAAUCCGUAGAUAUCUGGAGGAACAUCAGUGGCGAAAGCGACUAUCUGGCACAUAACUGACGCUGAGGAGCGAAAGCGUGGGUAGCAAACAGGAUUAGAUACCCGAGUAC
rnacentral:rRNA from 1 species